rnacentral:rRNA from 1 species
UACGGAGGGUGCAAGCGUUGCUCGGAAUCAUUGGGCGUAAAGCGUACGCAGGCUGUUCGUUAAGUCGGGUGUGAAAGCCCGGGGCUCAACCCCGGAACGGCGCCCGAAACUGGCGAGCUUGAAUGCGGGAGAGGGAAGCGGAAUUCCUGGUGUAGAGGUGAAAUGCGUAGAGAUGUGGAGGAACACCGAUGGCGAAGGCAGCCCCCUGGGCUGAGAUUGACGCUCAGGCACGAAAGCGUGGGGAGCAAACAGG